CGCGGGAUCAAGGCCCGCCUAUUCAG
rnacentral:tRNA from 1 species